GGGAGGGACAAAACCCAACGACAGAGCCACAAACUAAUUUGAUACAGCCCUGGGCCAAGAAACAUCACGAGAGUUGGCAACCAGCAAAGGAACAACUUCACUUGGGGGAUCCUGCAAAACUAACAGACCUCCAUUCCCAUUGACAGCUAUAUUGGCAAGUCUAUCAGCAACUGAAUUAGCAUCGCGAAAGCAGUGAGGGAGCUUGAUCUCCCAUGAGCGCUGCAAAAACUGACGACAUUGAUUAACUGACGACAUUCGAAAGAACCUUUACCCAGAAUCAUAGAUAUCGCAAGCAUGCAUCGAAUCCAGCUGCACCUCAACUCGAUGAUAGCCCAACUGCCAGGACAAGCUUAAACCAUGAUAAAGUGCAUGUAAUUCAGCCUGAAUAGCAGAACAAAUCCCUAAGCGAAUCACAAACCCAGAUCGCCACAAGCCCAAAUGAUCUCCAAACACUCCACCUCCCCCUGCUUUACCAGGAUUUCCUCCACUAGCCCCAUCUGUAUUCAACCGAAUCCAACCCUUCCCAGGUGGAUACCAGUGAACUAGUGAAAUAGAAUGAGAAGAAGCAUUCUGCAGAGAAGUAACAUUGUUCGCACUCCAAGCAUCAGAAUUAGAUCUCAACUGGCUCAUAAUACAAGCAAGUUUAGAUUCAAUAGAAAGAACUUCCCCUCUAAACCGCUAAACCCAUAAUUGUUUCUCCAACACCAAAUCCAUAAUU
rnacentral:misc_RNA from 1 species